rnacentral:rRNA from 1 species
AUUGAACGCUGGCGGCACGCCUAACACAUGCAAGUCGAGCGGUAGCAUGGUUAGUAGCAAUACUAACUGAUGACGAGCGGCGGACGGGUGAGGAACACGUAGGAACCUGCCCAAGAGAGGGGGAUAACUAAGGGAAACUUUAGCUAAUACCGCAUAAUUCUCUGAGGAGAAAAGUUGCCCGUAAGGGUAGCGCUUUUGGAGGGGCCUGCGUCCGAUUAGUUAGUUGGUGAGGUAAUGGCUCACCAAGACUGUGAUCGGUAACUGGUCUGAGAGGACGACCAGUCACACUGGGACUGAGACACGGCCCAGACUCCUACGGGAGGCAGCAGUGGGGAAUCUUGGACAAUGGGGGCAACCCUGAUCCAGCGAUGCCGCGUGGGUGAGGAAGGCCUUCGGGUUGUAAAGCCCUUUAGGCUGGGAAGAAGUUUAUGGGAUGAAUAAUCCUGUAAAUUGACGGUACCAGCAGAAUAAGCACCGGCAAACUCUGUGCCAGCAGCCGCCGUAA